GCGGCGUAGGAUAGCUCUGCGGCCUAUCAGGUUGUAGCGAGGGUAACGUCCUCGCUAGCCUACGACGGGUAUGGGUGUUGGGAGACAUCGCCCAGAGAUGGAUUCUGAGACACGAAUCCAGGCCCUACGGGGCGCAGCAGGCGCGAAAACUGCACAAUGUGGGAAACCACGAUGCGGGAAACCCAAGUGCCAGCACUAUGUGUUGGCUGUCCUCGACUGUUUGUAGGUCGGGAAGAAAGAGCUGGGUAAGACGGGUGCCAGCCGCCGCGGUAAUACCCGCAGCUCAAGUGGUGGUCAUUAUUAUUGGGCCUAAAGCGUCCGUAGCUGGCCUGUUAGAUGCCUGGGUAAAUCGAUGCGCUCAACGUAUCGAAUUCCGGGUAGACCGGCAGGCUCGGGACCGGGAGAGGCGUGAGCUACUCGAGGGGUAGGGGUAAAAUCCUGUAAUCCUUCGGGGAGGACCAGUGGCGAAGGCGUCACGCUAGAACGGCUCCGACAGUGAGGGACGAAGCCCUGGGGCGCAAACCGGAUUAGAUACCCGGGUAGUCCAGGGUGUAAACGCUGCAGACUUGGUGUCGCUGAUCCUACGAGGGUUGGCGGUGCCGUAGAGAAGUUGUUUAGUCUGCCGCCUGGGGAGUACGGUCGCAAGACUGAAACUUAAAGGAAUUGG
rnacentral:rRNA from 1 species